rnacentral:rRNA from 1 species
AGUGGCGAACGGGUGAGUAACACGUGAGCAACCUGCCCCAAACUCUGGAAUAAGCACUGGAAACGGUGUCUAAUACUGGAUACGAGACCAACCUGCAUGGGUAUGGUUUGGAAAGUUUUUCGGUUUGGGAUGGGCUCGCGGCCUAUCAGCUUGUUGGUGAGGUAAUGGCUCACCAAGGCGACGACGGGUAGCCGGCCUGAGAGGGCGACCGGCCACACUGGGACUGAGACACGGCCCAGACUCCUACGGGAGGCAGCAGUGGGGAAUAUUGCACAAUGGGCGAAAGCCUGAUGCAGCGACGCCGCGUGAGGGAUGACGGCCUUCGGGUUGUAAACCUCUUUCAGCAGGGAAGAAGCGAAAGUGACGGUACCUGCAGAAGAAGCACCGGCUAACUACGUGCCAGCAGCCGCGGUAAUACGUAGGGUGCGAGCGUUGUCCGGAAUUAUUGGGCGUAAAGAGCUUGUAGGCGGUUUGUCGCGUCUGCUGUGAAAAUCCGGGGCUCAACCCCGGACUUGCAGUGGGUACGGGCAGACUAGAGUGUGGUAGGGGAGACUGGAAUUCCUGGUGUAGCGGUGAAAUGCGCAGAUAUCAGGAGGAACACCGAUGGCGAAGGCAGGUCUCUGGGCCACUACUGACGCUGAGAAGCGAAAGCAUGGGGAGCGAACAGGAUUAGAUACCCUGGUAGUCCAUGCCGUAAACGUUGGGAACUAGGUGUGGGUCUCAUUCCACGAGAUCCGUGCCGCAGCUAACGCAUUAAGUUCCCCGCCUGGGGAGUA